rnacentral:lncRNA from 1 species
UGUUAAUGGUGGAUUUAGAGGGUGGUGGUGGUGUUUUUUUCUUAAGAAAAAAACGUGAUGUAGGGAGUAUAAACAAAUUGACCAAAAUUUUGACUUUUGAGAAUUUUUUUUUUUAGUGAGAAUCAACUUUUUGAAAUUUGUAUGUGUUCAUAGUAUAGUUUUGGUAAUGGUAUGGAUAAAAGAAGUAUUUUACUGUGUAAGAUUUCUGAGAUAUUGGUUUUUUUUUUGUUAUGAUAGU